rnacentral:rRNA from 1 species
CAAUAGCGUAUAUUAAAGUUGUUGCAGUUAAAAAGCUCGUAGUUGGAUUUCUGGUUGAAGCGACCGGUCGGGCGUUGAUUCGUCUGCACUAGAGUCGGUUUUGGCCAUCCUCUAGGAAAGUGCGUCUGGUAUUAAGUUAUCGGGCGUAUGAUCCUGGUCUUUUACUGUGAAAAAAUUAGAGUGUUUAAAGCAGGCCUUCGCCUUGAAUACAUUAGCAUGGAAUAAUAAGAUAGGACUUUGGUCUAUUUUGUUGGUUUGCAGACCGAAGUAAUGAUUAAUAGGGAUAGUUGGGGGUAUUUAUAUUCCGAUGUCAGAGGUGAAAUUCUUAGAUUUUCGGAAGAUAAACUUAUGCGAAAGCAUUUACCAAGGAUGUUUUCAUUAA